UGAGUUUAAUUCUGUCAGCUCCCCAGUGUAGACGCUGCUGUUACCCUCACUGCACUGGGAGGUUCACAAUUCAUGCAAAGCUGCAGAGCUGAAAGAGCCCUCAGUCCUGGACCCAGAAGGCACUGAGCUCAGAUCCAGGGCUCCCAUCAGCUGUGUGACUGGGCGAGCCUCAACUCCCCACACCUCCGCUUCCUGCCCUGGAAAUGGGAUAACAGUGCCUCCCUCCUUGGGCCUUCUGGAGCCACGUGAGACCACAGCUAUGAACCAGGCAGACAGCGAAGUCAGGAGACACACUCAGACAGGAGGGGCAGCAGGGCGGGCGCAGAGAAGGGUCCAAGCCAACUCCCACCCAGAUCAAGGGAAGCGCUGCUGAACACCCGUGGAUUGCUCACCCCCCUGCCAGGGACCGCGGACCAGAGGGAGAGGUGCCUGCCCCCUCCACCUCCACGCAGCUGCCACUCCUGGUUGCUGUGUCCUGACCGAUGCAGCUCCCCGGGGCGGGGAGAAGACAAAUGCCCCAGAAGUUGUCGAUGACGGUGGUGACGCCCGGCUGGAGGGUGAGCUUGGUGUAGGACGUGCCGAAGUCUGAGGACCUGGAGGGGGAGGAGGACAGCUGUCAGCAACGGGCCCCUCCGGGCACAGACCGAUCGGGCCCACAGUGUAUCCAGCACGGGCCAUGUGCCCAGGACACCGUCUCCCGGGGAGCAGAGCCUGGCAGAGCCCGGUACUCCGUCUCUCUCGCAGGUGACCCGGGGACAGUGAGGCGACUCUGAGCAAGUGGGUUCCUGCCCGGCAUCACCUCGGUCACAAGUGGCUGGCUCAGAACACGAGUGCUGGCCUGCCCCCCACACAGCUGGCGUCCUGUCUGCUCUAUAGGAUGUCCCCACUGCACUAAGGCCUCAUAGUGGACGGUCUGCCCGGCCAUGACCCUCCCUGGGCCCUGGCCACCUGUCCAUAGCCCUGCUGGGGGCUGAGGGCUCCAGCACCCAGGCCGGGGUAGACACCCCAGGCCCUGUGCUGGCCGGCGAGUGCCAACCCCCUCACCCCCGGUUCACCGAGAGGCCAGGGCUACUCAGGGCAACCCUGGGCCAGCCCCACCCCGUCUGUGGGCCCACUUCCCUGCCAGGAAUGUGAGGGUGCAGAAGAGCAUCCCCAUGAGCCGCCCAGCCGCAGCCCGGCCUGCAGCAGCAGGAGGGAGAGAAGGGCGAUUUCACAUCUGUUGUUUGGAAACAACCCACACAUGAGAACAUGGAAUUAAUUCCAGGUUGAAGCUUAAAGUCCCAGUGACCCUGAAACCAGACUCCUUAUUAUCACCCCAUCGAUGUGCUGUGAAUGCAGAGCCCAAGGCAGGGGGCUGGAGCGCAGCCAGGCCUGGGGUCAGCGUUCCCCACCCCAUUCCAGACACGCUGGGCUGCAGGGGUCUCCCGGAGCUCCCCCAUCUUCCAGCAGGUUGGGGAGCUCAACCCAAGGUGGGGACAGGGACAGGAGAGGGAGGCCACAGCUACGGAGCUCCUGCCAUGCACGGCGGCCCUCAGGGCCCAUCGUCCGAUCACCUCUGAAACGAGCCUGAAGGGAGCUGAGCCCCGGGCUGUGGGUGGGCAGUGCCCCCCACUUACACGAGGGGGGAAGGGCUUGGAUCCUGUUCCCAGACCUCAGCUCCGUGUGGCCUGAACUGCCCCUUCCCCUCUGUCGCCAGGGGGCCCCAUGGGGAGGCCUGGAGCUGCUUAGCAUAAACCCCCUCCCCACAAGGAGCUUCUUAGUCCCCCGCCCCGGAUUUCCUCUGAACCUCAGUGAACCAGAGGCCCUGGAAGAUGGGCGUGUUUACUGCCUGGGGGCUUAGUGGCCACAUGUGCCCAUGUCCUCAGAGGUCAGGUCCCACUCAGUCCUCAGGGUCACAAGGUCCUUCUCAGGCCGGAUCAGAGAGUAGCCCCGUCCCCUGACCGCUAGGGGAGUCCAGCAGGGGCCCACCCCCUUCCAGGGUGGCUGGGAGAGGGUCCCCCCCCCACUGCCCUCGGCCUUCCCAGGGAGGGAACAAAGCAGGCCCCCCAGGGGGUGAUUAGGCAAAACUCACAACCUCGGAGAAUUGAUUUUCUUCAGGAAGGAGAGAGCCAGAGGCCCAUUAGCAGAGGGUCGAUGCAGAGACCCAGGAAAUUUCAGAGCCCGGAAGAAACAAACGGCAUGUUUAGGAGCUUGAUGCGUGCAGCCUCCUCUCUCCCUCCGCCCUGGACAAGCCAGUCCAAGACCUGUGGACGGUCCGCCUCCCACACCUGAGGACCCACCCCUUCCCUCAUUUCCUCACACCCUCCGCCUCCCAGGGACGCAGCCCCCUCCCUGAACCCGGCUCACACCUGCUCACACCGCUCACCUAAGGCACCUGCACAUGGAGCCAGUGGGACCAAGGCCCGGCUACCCAGGACCCUACAGUCCAGGCGGGGAGGGGAGGGGAGGGGAGAGAUAAAUAAGCAGAAAUAAAACUGCAUCCAGUGCUAUGAAGAGUAAACAGCAAGGGGGUGCAGGGCAGUGGGAUGAAGGGAGGCCGUGCGGCACGCCUGGCUGGGGGAAAGCCGUUUGCUUGUGCUGGUCAAGUAAGGUCAUCUUAAAAUCCGUGUCCUCUCACAACCUGUGACUGUGGCCUUGUUUGCAAACAGGGUUGCUGCAGAUGCAGUUAGGUUACGAUGAGGUCACCUGAGUCAGGUGGGCCCUAAGCAGUGACUGCUGUCAUACGGAGAGGCAGAUCUGGACAAACUUGGGGAGGAUGCCGUGCAGACGGGCCAGACAAGGGACGGUGAGGAGCCGCCAGGAGCUGGGAUGCAGGCCCGCAGCAGAUUCUCCCCCAAGCCUGCCAGCACCCUGGUCCCAGGCUCCCACCCUUCUGCGGGACAGUAGACUUCAUUGUUUACAGGCGGCCAGUGUGUGGGGCUUUGUCAGGGGCCAGAAGACACAGACGCGCCCUCCAGGCAGAGGGAACAGCAGGCACACAGGCCCUGGGGACAGGAUACCCUGCCCUCUCCUCUGGAAGUGGACCAACGGACGGAUCCGUCUAAACCCAAGCCCCACGCCUGCUCCCCUGGCAUCAGCAGCUCCUCCCCUGCAGGACCAGGCGAAUCCCCCAACUGCCCUCAGCCCCCAGCGCCCCGCCUCCAGCCCCCUCACUCCCUCCAGCCCACAUUUGCUCCCUUUAUGCUCUAAGCUCCACACUUGUUCAAAUCCCUUCACGCGACAUAUGUUUACUGAACACCUACUAUGUGCUGGCCACUGCUGCCCGUGAUGAGCAGGAUAGACACCACCCUGCCCCACAGGGGGACAGGCUAGCUGGUGAGACAGAGAGCAGACGGGUAAUUCCAGGUGGGCGAUGACACCAACAGCCACGUCUGUGACACUCCAAGGAGGUGGUCAAAGCGAUCUGGCCGGGUCCAUCCCCAACUCCCCUGCCCCCAGCUGCCCCCACCAACCAUCCGGUCUGCCACCCCACCCCCUCCUUGCUGACCCUUCCUCCUAAAUCCUUUGCAUUCCAUCCCCCCAACCCAGUCGGAGCCCUCCUCACGCCCCAGCCUGUCCGUGAGGGGGUCCCCACAGGCUACAGGCCCGGAGGCAGAGGCUGGGUGGACGGAUUUCCUCAGGGAGCAGGUAUUCCCGUGGCUGCUGUGAUGGAACCACCACAGGCAGUGGCUUAAUGCGCGCCAGGCUUACUACCCCUCCGCUCUGGAGGUCAGCAGUCUCAUGGGACUUACUGGUUAAAACCGAGGUGUCCGCCUGUGUUGGAAGCUCUGGGGGAGCCGCCCCUUUCCUUUCCUUUCCUGGCUUCUUGGCGGCAGCUCCAAGUCCUCAGCUUGGGCUCCCCUCCGCCUUCCAACAGCACCCCUCUGGGCCCCCCGUCCUCACACCUUUGCAGUCACAGCUCGCCCGGGCUCCCACCUGUAAGCACCCUUGCGAUUGAUCAUACAGGGCUCCCCAGAUAAUUCAAGGAAACCCCCUGCCUCCUCAAGGUCCCUGAUUUAACACAGCACCUGCUCACAACGGGGCUGUGGAGCUCUCUGAACGUCCCAUGGUGCUUGUGAAUUCAUCCAGAUCGAGGAACAUUGUUUGUGCAAAACACAUGCCAACUUCAAAGACUUCAUAUAUAAAAAGUGUAAAAUGUUUCAUCAUAAUUUUAUACUGGUUACAUGUUGACAUAA